UUACGGCCAUAUCACGUUGAAACACAGGUUCACGUUCGAACGCAGAAGUGAAGCAACGUCGAGCCUGGUCCUUACUUAGAUGGGUGGCCGCGUGGGAAUAUCACGGGCUGUAAG